rnacentral:piRNA from 1 species
UCCCAUGGCCCACGUUGUUCUCAGCACUU